rnacentral:rRNA from 1 species
CGGACGGGUGAGUAAUGCCUAGGAAUCUGCCUGGUAGUGGGGGACAACGUUUCGAAAGGAACGCUAAUACCGCAUACGUCCUACGGGAGAAAGCAGGGGACCUUCGGGCCUUGCGCUAUCAGAUGAGCCUAGGUCGGAUUAGCUAGUUGGUGAGGUAAUGGCUCACCAAGGCGACGAUCCGUAACUGGUCUGAGAGGAUGAUCAGUCACACUGGAACUGAGACACGGUCCAGACUCCUACGGGAGCAGCAGGUC